GACGAACCGUCCUAACGUUGUUCGGAAUCACUGGGCUUAAAGGGCGCGUAGGCGGGUUCCCAAGUCGGUGGUGAAAUCUUUCGGCCCAACCGGAAAACAGCCGCCGAUACUGGGAGUCUUGAGGGAGGUAGGGGUCGAUGGAACUUCCGGUGGAGCGGUGAAAUGCGUAGAUAUCGGAAGGAACGCCGGUGGCGAAGGCGGUUCUCUGGGCCGAUACUGACGCUGAGGAGCGAAAGCGUGGGGAGCAAACAGG
rnacentral:rRNA from 1 species